ACACGCGAGAAGGGCGGGACCGGGUCCAGAGGCAGGAGCAAGGACAGACCCAAAAGGAGAAGCCAAAGGAUGGAGUCUUGUGCUGUCACCCAGGCUGGAGUACAAUGGUGUGGUCUCAGCACACUGCAACCUCCACCUUCCAGGUUCAAGCGACUCUUCUGCCUCAGCAUCCCGAGUAGCUGGGACUACAGAGAAUCAGGGGUCUUGAUGUGUUGCUCAGGCUGGUCUUGAACUCCUGGCCUCAUGUGAUCCUCCUGCCUCAGCCUCCCAAAAGUGCUGGGAUUACAGGCAUAAGCCAUUACACCCGCCAGGUAGCUUUUUAACUUGGGAUCAUUCACAUCAUUUAAUUAUCACCUACAUCUGUCUAUACCUAGAGACACUCUAAGGCAUUUAUGUAGAAUCUGAUUUUUCCAGAAUUGACUUUUCUGUGGAGGGUGGUAGGAUAUGCAGCAGAAAUGGGCUGGCAUGGGAUAAGGUGAACUCUUCACUGGCAUAAAAACUUUCCAGGUCAAGAGGAAACCUGUGUCCUUUAGCCUGGGUUUUCUGGUCUACCCCUUCCAGGCAAGCCUGGCUGCUAGGAGUCUGGGCUGCUCAGAGAGGACACCAGAGUUCCCGGGCUGCCGUGUGGGGAGGCCCCAAAGCCAAACACCUCCCUUGCGCUUUUGUCUCUUCCACAUGCCUCCUUCCGAGCCUCAACACAUAAUGGGUGGCUCACAAGCAAAACUCCACAGGGCUAGAAGCCAACAUAAAUCUGGAAGCAUCGAGAUCAGCCUGGCCAACAUGGUGAAACCCUGUCUCUACUAAAAAUACGAAAAUUAGCCAAAUACAAAAAAUUAGCCGAGCAGGGUGGUGUGCACCUGUAAUCUCAGCUAUCAGGAGGCUGCGGCAGGAGAAUCGCUUGAACCCAGGAGGCAGAGGUUGCAGUGAGCUGAGAUCGCACCACUGCACUCCAGCCUGGGUGACAGAGUGAGACUGUCUCAAAAAAAUGAAACAAAACAAACGCCUGGAAGCAGGGUGGAAGGGAACUGCAGGUAACUGAGGAACACAUGGCGCCCCUCAAGGGCUCCAGCCAGUUCCAAUGUUG
rnacentral:lncRNA from 1 species